CAGCAGCCGCGGUAAUACGAAGGGGGCUAGCGUUGUUCGGAAUUACUGGGCGUAAAGCGUGCGCAGGCGGUCCGUUAAGACAGAUGUGAAAUCCCCGGGCUUAACCUGGGAACUGCAUUUGUGACUGGCGGGCUAGAGUAUGGCAGAGGGGGGUAGAAUUCCACGUGUAGCAGUGAAAUGCGUAGAGAUGUGGAGGAAUACCGAUGGCGAAGGCAGCCCCCUGGGCCAAUACUGACGCUCAUGCACGAAAGCGUGGGGAGCAAACAGGAUUAGAUACCCCGGUAGUCCCUGUCUCUUAUAC
rnacentral:rRNA from 1 species